rnacentral:lncRNA from 1 species
CUAUUUCUUGGGCCGCUCCAUAUGGAGGUUUCCAGGCUAGGGGUCGAAUCGGAGCUGUAGCCACCAGCCUAUGCCAGAGCCACAGCAACGCGGGAUCCGAGCCGCAUCUGCAACCUACACCACAGCUCAUGGCAACACUGGAUCGUUAACCCACUGAGCAAGCACAGGGACCGAACCUGCAACCUCAUGGUUCCUAGUCGGAUUCGUUAACCACUGCGCCACAAUGGGAACUCCCCAUUUCUUUUUUUUAAUUUUUUUUUGUCUUUCUGCCAUUUCUCGGGCUGCUCCCGUGGCAUAUGGAGGUUCCCAGGCUAGGGGUCUAAUCGGAGCUGUUGCCACUGGCCUACGCCAGAGCCACAGCAACAGCAACGGGGGAUCCGAGCCGCGUCUGCCACCUACACCACAGCUCACAGCAAGGCCAGAUCCUUAACCAACUGAGCAAGGCCAGGGAUCGAACCCACAACCUCAUGGUUCCUAGUUGGAUUCAUUAACCACUGAGCCACGAUGAGAACUCCUACAUGUACCUUUCUAGAAAAUUCAUAUGAUAUCACACACAUGUGGAAUCUAAAAUAUGACACAAAUGAACCUAUCUACAAAACAAAGAGAUGCAGGGACAAGGAGAACAAACCUGUGGUUGCAAAGGGGGGAGAAGGUGGUGGAGAGGGAUGGAUUGGGGGUUUGGGAUUAGCAGAUAGAAAAUAUAUAAAGAAUAGAUAAACAAACAAAAUUCAAAUGAAUCUAUAGACAGAAAGCUGAUCCUUGGCUGUUUAGGUGAAGGGAACAGGGUGGGAGGGAGGACAAAGGAGCUGGGGAGAAUUUUUGGGUGAUAGAUAUGCUAUCUUUUUUUUUUUUUUGCUUUUCAAGGCUGUACCUGUGGCAUGUGGAGGUUCCUAGGCUAGGGGACAAAUCGGAACUGUAGCUGCCGACCUACACCACAGCCACAGCAAUGCAGGAUCCAAGUGGAGUCUUGGACCCAUGCCACAGCUCAUAGCAACACUGGAUCCUUAACCCACUGAGCGAGGCCAGGGAUCAAACCUGUGUCCUCAUGGAUACUAGCUGGGUUUGUUAUUGCAGAGCCACAAUGGGAUCUCCUGCGUCGGUUCUUACACCCAAUAAAGCCAUUUUUAAAAAAAGUUUGUGGAUUAGGAGUUCCCUUCAUGGCUCAGUGGUUAAUGAACCCGACUAGGAUCCAUGAGGAUGUGGGUUUGAACCCUGGCCUUGCUCAGUGGGUUAAGGAUCUGGCGUUGCCGUGAGCUGUGGUGUAGGUUGCAGACGUGGCUUGGAUCUCAUGUUGCUAUGGCUGUGGUGUGGGCCAGCAGCUGUAGCUCCGAUUUGACCCCUAGCCUGGGAACUUCCACAUGCCCCAGGUGCAGCUCCCCUGCCAAAAAAGUACGUGGAUUAUGAAAGUAUGCGCCACCACAGGGAGACAGCUGGGAAUCUGUGAGCGUGUGUGUCUAUGCUCAGAGGUGCCAGGUGGUGCCACACACCUGACAGCCCUACAGGAAACGAUGAGUCUCAUAUGAACACACCCACACUCACACAUGUGCAUGCUCCCGCACAUACACACAGGGACACACGCACACAGACCUCACGUUCAUACAAAUAUACACAGCACAGACAUGUGCAUACACGCACUUAUGCAGACCCAGGGCUUCAUGAAGAGCCCAUCCCUCUGUGUCACAUACGACACAGCUAACACGCACCACAACUUUUGGGGGCGCAAUCCAGCUCAAGGACUGGGGGCUUUAGUUGGUCUCACACUGAAGCUGCCUGGAGGUAGGUGGCAGAAAGACCCCAUGGAUGCGCCUGCAUUCUCCCAGCAGACACCGAGCUGAGAGGCCAUCAGGAUCCAAUCAUAUGACCUUGCUCCUGCUCCCAGGGCCUCUGUCACCUGCUUUGAGGAAGGUCUUGCUGACGCUUAGAUAGGCUGAGGCUCUGUGCCCUCCAACAUCCUCCAGGGCCAGCUGAUCAAGAGGCACUCGCACGGCCACAGAGGGGACUUUGACAGCUCUGGGUCCCUUGGUGGGGGUAGCAGGAGACCCCAUGCUCAGAGACUGGGGGCCGUGGGGGCAGUCACAGGUCCAGUCAAGGCACACCCCACCCCCAGGCCAGGAGGAAGUAGAUAAGGCUUGCUCAAGGCGUCUGCUGACCACCCUGACCACUGGGGCUGUAGAGGGGGUGGUUAGCCAAAGAGAAGGGGCGGAGCAGGGCAGACAUCAGCCAGGGGCCCUUGCAGGAGUCCCCACAGGGACCAGCUGACCUGCCCUAUAGCAGUUGCCCCCCCAGCCAUUGUAGCCCACUCAGGCCCACCACACCUGUACCUGGAAACUCCUCCAUCCUGGACCUCCCCACCCAGCCAGCCUCUCCUGGGCCUGCUCUGCAGGGAGCCUACACUUCCCUCCCAG